rnacentral:sRNA from 1 species
UUAUAUUCUCCACUGGGGGGGAUGAGAACCCCCGACCGGGGUUCGACAACUGGCAACGCCAGUUGGACAGACCGCGAGCCUGCGAGCGGACUGCCCCGCAGGGGCGAGCGAAGCGAGUCAAUCCCCCCCUCACCGCCA